UGCCUGGUGGUUCUGGGUGGUGGAAGGCAGACGUCCUUGGUGAAGUCUUCCUCCUGGAUUGAUGUGCUGUGUCUCAGGCAGCAGCCAGAGCUGCCUUAUAGCUCAGUCCAAACUAGGAUUUGGACUAGCAUUGUGUGCUGAAAUGAAUGAGAUCUGGGCACCCAGAGCAGUUUGGCAGAUUUGAGUAUCUCAGCUGCAUAAGAAAAGUUGCAGGAAUGUUGAUUUGAUUCAUCCCUUUGAGAGCUGUGUCUUCCUGGUAGGUUAAAGCCCACAUCUGAAAGCAGCUCUACUGCUGUGUUUAUGUGGAGUAAAUGGCUGUUCUAAACACCGGCAGCUGCCUACAGACCAAAGCCUACACAGCUGGCAGAAGAGCUGUUGAUGAAAGACUAUUCUUCUGUAUGAGGUCUGGGCUUUGGUUUUACAGUUUUGAUGUUCCUUGGAAGAAGGAGUGAGAGGCAACAGUGAGAAGGAAAUGAAAGGUAGCUGAAGCCACGGGCAGCUGAGUAAAACUGCUUGGCACUACUCCAUCCUUGGGGUUAAGCUGCUGAAUGUACUCCCUUAAGUCUUAAGGGGCUGUAUUCUAGGAAUAUCACAGAAACAUAGAAAAGAUCAUAAAAUGGAAUGUUCUUCUGGGAUAUCAAGAAAGGAAUGAGAAUGCAAUGCCUUUUUACUUUACAUUUUCAUCUUGCAUCUAAAUAUAUGUCACAUUAAAGAGGGACUCUUAGCCUCUCUUGAUAACUGUAAUCAUGCUGGGACAUUGCUGUUCUCAAGGUUAAAGACAUGCGUUAACUUUGUGUGUGUUUGAAAACAAAGAA